rnacentral:rRNA from 1 species
UUGCCCUACGGGGCGCAGCAGUGAGGAAUAUUGGUCAAUGGUCGGGAGACUGAACCAGCCAAGCCGCGUGAGGGAUGAAGGUACAGAGUAUCGUAAACCUCUUUUGUCAGGGAACAAAGGCGGGGACGUGUCCCCGGAUGAGUGUACCUGAAGAAAAAGCAUCGGCUAACUCCGUGCCAGCAGCCGCGGUAAUACGGAGGAUGCGAGCGUUAUCCGGAUUUAUUGGGUUUAAAGGGUGCGCAGGCGGAAGAUCAAGUCAGCGGUAAAAUUGAGA